UUGAUGUGUCUAAUUUACUAUAUGCAUCUGUUUAUCUGUAGAAAUACUGGCUUCUCAGCUGGAUUUUGUGAACACAAACUGGAGUCCAGAUUUUGAAACCAUCAGAAGACAUGCAG